UCUGGAAAUCUACGUGAGGGAGAAACACUCAGAACCCAGCAGCAGUGUUCUGGAAUCCUAUGUGACAGAGAGACGUUUAGACAACAGCAGCAGCGUUCUGGAAUCCUAUGUGAAGGGACAAACAUUCAGACCCUCGUAGCAGUGUUCUGGAAUGCUAUGUGAGGGAUAAACUUUCAGACCAUAGCAGAAGUUUUCUGGAAACCUAUGUGAGCAACAAAUAUUCAGACAAUCAUAGCAGUGUUCUGGAAUCCCAUGUGAGGAACAAACAUUCAGACCCUCAUAGCAGUGUUCUGUAGUGCUGUGUGAGGGACAAACAUUCAGACAAUCGUAUCAGGGUUCUGGAAUCCUAUGUAAAGUCCAACAUUCAGACCCCAGCAGCAGUGUUCAGGAAUCCUAUGUGAGGGACAAACAAUCAGACCACAGCA
rnacentral:lncRNA from 10 species